GGGGACAUGGCGCAGCGGUAGCGCGUCUGCUUUGCAUUCUUAUAUGAUUCUUGUAGAAGGUCAGGGGUUCAAGCCCCCUUGUCUCCA
rnacentral:tRNA from 1 species